AACGAACGCUGGCGGCAUGCCUAACACAUGCAAGUCGAACGAGACCUUCGGGUCUAGUGGCGCACGGGUGCGUAACGCGUGGGAACCUGCCCUUAGGUUCGGAAUAACUCCCCGAAAGGGGUGCUAAUACAGGAUAAUGUCUUCGGACCAAAGAUUUAUCGCCUUUGGAUGGGCCCGCGUUGGAUUAGCUAGUUGGUAGGGUAAAAGCCUACCAAGGCGACGAUCCAUAGCUGGUCUGAGAGGAUGAUCAGCCACACUGGGACUGAGACACGGCCCAGACUCCUACGGGAGGCAGCAGUGGGGAAUAUUGGACAAUGGGCGAGAGCCUGAUCCAGCAAUGCCGCGUGAGUGAUGAAGGCCUUAGGGUUGUAAAGCUCUUUUACCCGGGAUGAUAAUGACAGUACCGGGAGAAUAAGCUCCGGCUAACUCCGUG
rnacentral:rRNA from 1 species